UAGUUUGAUCAGUGCUCAGAUUGAACGCUGGCGGCAGGCCUAACACAUGCAAGUCGAGCGGGGUUUUCGGACCUAGCGGCGGACGGGUGAGUAAUGCGUAGGAAGCUACCCGACAGAGGGGGGAUACCAGUUUGGAAAACGACUGUUAAUACCGCAUAAUGUCUACGGACCAAAGUGUGGGACCUUCGGGCCACAUGCUGUCGGAUGCGCCUACGUGGGAUUAGCUAGUUGGUGAGGUAAUGGCUCACCAAGGCGACGAUCCCUAGCUGGUUUGAGAGGAUGAUCAGCCACACUGGAACUGAGACACGGUCCAGACUCCUACGGGAGGCAGCAGUGGGGAAUAUUGGACAAUGGGCGCAAGCCUGAUCCAGCAAUGCCGCGUGCAGGAUGAAGGCCUUCGGGUUGUAAACUGCUUUGUACGGAACGAAACGGUGAGCUCUAAUACAGUUUGCUAAUGACGGUACCGUAAGAAUAAGCACCGGCUAACUACGUG
rnacentral:rRNA from 1 species